AACGAACGCUGGCGGCAUGCCUAACACAUGCAAGUCGAACGAGACCUUCGGGUCUAGUGGCGCACGGGUGCGUAACGCGUGGGAAUCUGCCCUUGGGUUCGGAAUAACAGUUGGACACGACUGCUAAUACCGGAUGAUGACGUAAGUCCAAAGAUUUAUCGCCCAGGGAUGAGCCCGCGUAGGAUUAGCUAGUUGGUGGGGUAAAGGCCUACCAAGGCUACGAUCCUUAGCUGGUCUGAGAGGAUGAUCAGCCACACUGGGACUGAGACACGGCCCAGACUCCUACGGGAGGCAGCAGUGGGGAAUAUUGGACAAUGGGCGAAAGCCUGAUCCAGCAAUGCCGCGUGAGUGAUGAAGGCCUUAGGGUUGUAAAGCUCUUUUACCCGGGAUGAUAAUGACAGUACCGGGAGAAUAAGCCCCGGCUAACUCCGUG
rnacentral:rRNA from 1 species